rnacentral:rRNA from 1 species
GACGAACGCUGGCGGCGUGCUUAACACAUGCAAGUCGAACGGAAAGGCCCUGCUUGCAGGGUGCUCGAGUGGCGAACGGGUGAGUAACACCUGGGUGAUCUGCUCUGAACUUCGGGUUAAGCCUGGGAAACUGGGUCUAUUACCCGUUCGUCGCCAUUUUUAGUGUGAGGGAUGGUAAGUUUUGUCGGUGUCGGAUGAGCCUGCGGCCUAUCAGCUUGUUGGUGGGGUAAUGGCCUACCAAGGCGGCGACGGGUAGCUGGCCUGAGAGGGUGGACGGCCACAUUGGGACUGAGAGACGGCCCAGACUCCGACGGGUGGAAGCAGUGGGGAAGAUUGCACAAGGGGCGCCAGCCGGAUGCAGCGACGCCGCGUGGUGGAUGACGGCCUUCGGGUUGAAAAAGCCUUUCGCGAUGGACGAAGCUUUUUGUGACGUUACCUAGAGAAGAAGCACCGGCUAACUACGUG